AUUUGACCACACAGACUAGUCUAUUUUCUAAACCAGGCAUUGUUUAAAGUUGGCAAGAGUAGUGCGCAUUUUAGACCAAAAUAUUCAAACUGGAAAUGUUGUCCAACAUAAAUAAUUAAAUUCUCCAUAACUGAGAUUGUUUUGGACACUAUUUAUUUUAUACUGCAUUAAAUAGACUAGUAAUUUCUGUUUACUUUUGAACCAAAUCUCUAGUUUACUGCUGGUUAAGAUAAGGUCACUGCAUACAUUGCAUUUAGAAAAUUGUUUACUCAAA